rnacentral:rRNA from 1 species
UACGUAGGGUGCAAGCGUUGUCCGGAAUUAUUGGGCGUAAAGGGCUCGUAGGCGGUUUGUCGCGUCGGGAGUGAAAACACCGGGCUUAACUCGGUGCUUGCUUUCGAUACGGGCAGACUGGAGGUAUGCAGGGGAGAACGGAAUUCCUGGUGUAGCGGUGAAAUGCGCAGAUAUCAGGAAGAACACCCGUGGCUAAGGCGGUUCUCUAGUACGGUACUGACGCUGAGGAGCGAAAGCGUGGGGAGCGAACAGG